rnacentral:rRNA from 1 species
UAGAGAAUAUUGGACAAUGGGGGCAACCCUGAUCCAGGCAUGCCGCGUGUGUGAAGAAGGCCUUAGGGUUGUAAAGCACUUUAGGUAAGGAAGAAAAGUUAAUUGUUAAUACCUUUUAACCCUGACAUUACUUACAGAAUAAGGACCGGCUAACUCCGUGCCAGCAGCCGCGGUAAUACGGAGGGUCCAAGCGUUAAUCGGAAUUACUGGGCGUAAAGCGCGCGUAGGCGGUAUGCUAAGUUGGGUGUGAAAUCCCCGGGCUUAACCUGGGAACUGCAUUCAAAACUUGCAUACUGGAGUACGGAAGAGGCGAGUAGAAUUCAUGGUGUAGCGGUGAAAUGCGUAGAUAUCAUGAGGAAUACCAAUGGCGAAGGCAACUCGCUGGUCCGUAACUGACGCUGAGGUGCGAAAGCGUGGGUAGCAAACAGG